UUGCUUCAGCAGCAGUUUAGAGUAGAUUAGCACGGCCUCUGUGCCAGGAUGACAUGCACAUUACUAAAAGCGUUCCGUGUUUUA
rnacentral:snRNA from 10 species